AGUUCAGCAAUGUUUAUUUAUGCAUUCAAAUACUUUGUGUAUGCCAGAGUACUUAAAUGCAUACACAAGCAAUUGAAAAGUAAACAUAUUAAUAUAAAGCUGAGAUUUAGCUGAACUUUGCCAUUUUUAUUUCAUGUCUCCUUAUGUAUGCAUUCAAAUACUCGUUUUCGGCCUGUUGAUUAAAUUCCAGAUUUAUCUUUUCCUCAGGAAUUUAUUUAAUGAAGUAUACACCAUUUAGUUUUUACCUGGAAAUUAAAAUUUAGUUGUUGAAACAGUUUUGUUAGCAUGUUAAUUUGAAACUAGUUUACUUCCAAUCUAUUUCGGUUGAGCUUAAGUUAUUUAGUUCAUGUAUGAUACAGGCGAAUCACCUGCCCACUGGGAAAAGGUGCUUGAGGGGAUUCUCAACUGAGGUCUUCUGGUGAUGCACCAGUUGGUACUAUGGGAUGUGAAGAAAGCUUGUGAUACACUACCGUCCUAAGGUCUGAAUAUUAGUUUAUCUGUGAUGAAAUUUUUAAAAGAUUUAUUUAUUGGUUUCUGUGUUGUUGCUUUCGAGGGAAAGUGAUUGCUAAAUAUACAUUUUUGAAUAGAUAUGGCUUGCUAAACAACUUUUUGGGUAGAAAAAGACAACAUGGUGAAUGCUUUCUAUUUGACAAUCCAGUAGUCAUUCAUCAUCAACCAGCAUAGCAAUUACUCAUUUCAAUUAAUAGAUAUUGAUGAUGAUGAUGAUGAUGAGUUGAUGACCAAACUAGUUAGUCAUCUAUGUAAUCUUGUAUUGAAUUGAUUGGUUGGCUUCUCAUACUUCUAGGGUCCUAUUUGUCAGAUAAGUUUCUCCUUCUCAUAUUUUUGCUGUGAUUACAGGGAUAUUGUAAUCCCUUUUACUUCUAUAUUUUGUAUGAAGCAUGAUGUGAAUAAGUUUACGCAUAUCAAAAUUUCUUUGUGUAGGAGAGAAGAUUUGCUGUCCUGGUAUCUUCUCUUUUAUCUAGCCAAACAAAGGAUCAUGUUACUCAUGGAGCAAUUCAACGCCUUCUUCAAAGUGAUCUGCUUACAGCUGAAGCUAUCAAUAAUGUGAUGAAGAGACUGUCAAGAAGUUGAUCUACCCUGUUGGGUUUUAUACAAGAAAAGCCACUAACUUGAAAAAAAUUGCAAAUAUUUGUCUCAUGAAGUCAAUGGGACACACAAGCUCAAUUGACCAAACCCCCUACUGUUACUUUCCCGCAUCGGUCCUAAGAUGGCUCAUUUGGUAUGUGUAACCGCUUCCUCCGAUUCAAGCAACAUGUUUCAUUAUAUCUAUGAUUAAU